rnacentral:rRNA from 1 species
GAAGCGAAGCAGCGAUGUGAAGCAAAUACGCACCAAAAGACCGGUCCCAGUUCGGAUAAGAGGCUGAAACUCGCCUCUUUGAAGUCGGAAUCGCUAGUAAUCGCAGAUCAGCAUGUUGCGGUGAAUACGUUUCCUGGUCUUGUACACACCGCCCGUCAAACCAUGAGAGUCGCCAACACCCGAAGUCCGCUUUGCGGCCUAAGGUGGGGGAGAUGAUUGGGGUUAAGUCGUAACAAGGUACC